ACGAUCGACGGUUCAGAGGGAAAGGUUUCGUUCUUGAGUGAUUAGGUGUGCAUCUCAGUAUACUGCUCGAUUUAUUGCUGAGACUGUGAAGACCUUUCUUUAUUCACUCAACAACGGGAAGAUACCAAAGAAGAUAUUCAACUCCUACUACAGUUUUCGAGGGUGCUUAUGAGAGUUUGGGCCUUGAUGCUUCUAGUGGGAAAUCAGUUAGCAUGCAGAAGAUAUGGCAUCUAAUUCAGG